AUUCCAGCUCCAAUAGCGUAUAUUAAAGUUGUUGCAGUUAAAAAGCUCGUAGUUGGAUUUCUGGCGUCGCCGCCCGGUUGGCCUCGAAAGGGGUAUGUACUGGGGCGCGCGUUGCCAUCCUCGGGGGAAGGUCGUCUGGCAUUAGGUUGUCGGACGGUCGACGCUCGUCGUUUACUGUGAACAAAUUAGAGUGUUCAAAGCAGGCUUAGGCCGUUGAAUACAUUAGCAUGGAAUAAUGAGAUAGGACUUUGGUGGUCUAUUUUGUUGGUUUGCACGCCGAAGUAAUGAUUAAUAGGGGCGGUUGGGGGUAUUCGUAUUCAAUUGUCAGAGGUGAAAUUCUUGGAUUUAUGGAAGACGAACUACUGCGAAAGCAUUUACCAAGGAUGUUUUCAUCA
rnacentral:rRNA from 1 species